CCCCCCGGCACAGCCGGCACGUGCCAGGCCGUUGAGGUGGGGGGAGGGGGCGGGGCUAUGGGGAACCCCGCCCCCCGCCUACGUCAGGCUGGGCUGGGGCUUCCCUGUGCCACCUGCUUGCCUUGCCCCUCCCCCACUGCCCCCACAGGGGACAGCCCGCGGCCUUGAGGGGGCAACCGCUCCACAGGGCAGCCCAGCACCCAGCGCCCUCCUGCUCCCUCCUGGCCCUGGCUAGCAUCCGGCAUGGGGGAGUGCAGGGACCGAGGGCAAGGAUGUGCCCUGUAGGGGUGGCCCCACGUCACUUAUCUGUCCUGGACCAGCCCCGCGCUGCUCAUGUGGUCCUUGGAGCUGGCCCUGCUUCGUUCAUCAGGCCCCGAGUGGUCCCACCCUGCUCAUCUGGCCCUGGAGCUGGUCCUGCACGGCUCAUCUGGCCCCCAGACUUGGCCCCACACCAUUCAUCAGGAUACGGAGUGAUCCCACACUCGUCUGGCUCUCGAGCUGGCCCCACACCAUUUAUCGGUACCCCGAGACUGAUCCCACACCACUCGUGGCCCUCAGCACCACACAAGUUUGUCGCCCCUGCGAGGGCUGCAGCGUGGCAGGGCGAGCGAUCUGUUCUGGCAUCUUUCAGUUCUGUUCUUUGUUAAAAGAGGAGAAGAGAUUCCACCCCACCCCCCACCCAAGCUCCAGCAUUUUCCACACCGGUGACGGUGAAGAGGACCCUGCAUCCUCAGCUGCUGAGGCUUGGCUCUGAGUUGCGAAGCCUGACGGGUUUCCUGCAGGAGCUGCGUAGGCUGAGCUCCCCCCCUCUGUAAGGUCAGCCAACAUCUGCAGCCUCUGCGUGGGAAUCCCAGCCGCGUUGCUUUUGAGAGCGUGGCACAGGCUGCGACUUUCCAUUAGCCGGAAUGAACCUGGUCGGAAGAAGCUCAAGUGUGCCAGCAUCUCUGAGAGUAAGUCUGUCACUGUCCAGAGAGGAGUGAGCUACAUCCUUUGAUACAUUGCAGUCUUUGUUCUGCAGUGCUGCAGUAAUCUUUCUCCAAAAAUAUUUGCAGUCAUUGCAGCCCCAGGUGGGGUUUUUAUUAAAAGAAAAAAAGGCACGGAAAAAAAAAUCUGAAUCUUUCCUCCUCCUGACUUAUGCUGUGAGCAUCUUUAUCCAGACACACGGCCCACUCAAUUCUACUGACUGGUAUUGAAAAGAGAAUAUCCCCCUGCUUUUUAAAGGCCUGCAGUUGUUUUGGGCCUCUCUCCAGGAAAUGACGGUUAUAUUAGCAUGAGAGCUGUCCUGUCGAGGCUUGGCAAAUGGAAGAAAAAAAGGAAGAACAACACAAAGCAAAGACCUAGACCUCAGCACCCUGGUAAAGAUUUGAAAGCACUCCAGAGUGUUGCAGCACCAUUAUUGAGAAUCACUGGCUUAGACACUGAACUUUAGAAUUCACAGGAGUAAUAUAAACUGCAGCAAGUGGAAGUAAAUCCAAGGCAUGAUGAGGUACAUAGUAUGGUGACACACAAACCCGUGCCAGGAACCUUCUGACUUUUCUGAAUAUCUAACAAAUGUCAUUGCUAAAUAAUAGAAGCCAGAGUAUCCAGGAGACAUUUUAAAAUAUUUUUACCUGACGAACAGCUCCAACCAUUUCGGCACGGCUAGACAGUCGAGCAGCUAAACGAUGCAGUACAGCAAUAUCCUCUAACAGCUUCUGGUAAGCUUCCCUGUGCUCAUAGUGAUGCCAUAAGGCAGCUGAAGACUGAAAUGAGAGAAUGUACAUCAACCUGUGACUUGAAAUUUUUAGGGGCAAAUACACAGAACAUACACAUUUGCAAUACUGUUCCAACUGAGGCCUAUCAACAACUUUAAAGAAAAUAUACCCCAUAUCGCAAUUAGUAUUCACCAACUCUUUCCAAAAUAUACAGAUCACUUGAUCUUGCUAGUCUAGUAGGUAGGCAUCAAUAAACUUUUCACUUCUAAUUUAAUUUACUUAAAAAAAACACCCCUAUCACUGUUAACUUCGCUUUAACUCAGAAGGAAAAGAGCAAUAAUAACUAGUAUGACAUUAGUAUGGCCUAAAAAAAAAUUACUAUUCCACAGAUAGGUUUGGAGUUGGAUCAGAAAUACUAGUAUUUAUUCGUUAAUUAUGACUGAACUGAACUCACUUUGCUAAGCCUGACUCCAAAUGAGAAAAUCAGGUAAUGCACAUGACUUCUACGUGGUUAUUCACACACUUUAAGUCAAGUACUCUUUAUGUGUUUUUUGGAACUGGGGCCUUUGUGAAAGGCUGUUUUCUGUAUUAGUACAGUUAUUUAUGAUAACCUUUAAUUCUUUGUAAACAUUGUUUACAUGAGAAUGACCCUAUACCCUCAUGCUGCAGAGCUGCUAAAAUCUUGACCCAGACUUUGUGAUGUUAGAUACCAACCUCUUUGGAUAGAGCAGGAUAUAAAUCUAAACAGAAACAACAACAACAACAACAACAAUUCCUAUGUACUAUGUUGCUAGCAUGUUCAAACAGUACAAGACUGCAGGCCAAUGGAAGACACUCUGAAUGAGAAAUAAACAAGCCCCUGCGAUUCAGAUUUUAUUUAUAGUUUAUCAUUUGUUUAUUUAUUUAAAGUUGGAAAAAAACACCUAAACUAUUCCUUCUAGCGAACCAUUUACCGUACAGGCAGUCCUCGGACUUACGACACAAUUGGUUCCUGAAAACCGCAUCUUAAGUCAAAACGUCGUAACUUUGAACCAAUUUUCUUAUAUGAAACAAUGUUAUGAAUGGGGGAUUGGCUCCUGAACCAAGGCCCAAUACCUUGUUUUCACCAAAAAUACCCCAGAAUUUUGUAUUCGAUCAAUUAUAGAUGAGUAAUAUAGCUACAUUAAUGUAUUUAUAUUGUAAAUAGCAAUCAUAUUGAUUUGGAAGGACUUCUUUGAGGUGACUUUGCUGGACUUUUUGAAAGGCUCUUGGACUUUUUGAAGGGUCCUUGGCUGGAGUCUUCUCAGGAGUCUUGGCUGCAGGUUUUUCUGGAGUCUUGUCUGCUUUCUUAAAGAAAGUGUCCGAGGAAGUUUGGACAGAGGUUCUCUAGGGAGAUGAGCAACGCAGCGAACUUGUUCGCUGGCAUGGUGUCACAUCGGAUCAAGCGUUGUAAAGUCGAAACUGACGUCAUAAAGUUGAAACAGGGUGUCAAUUUAUAAACUUUGUAAGUGCGGAACAUUGUAACUCGAAAAAUUGUAACUAGAGGACUGCCUGUAUUGCCCAACCCAACCAUUCAACUAUGAUGGGUCAGGCCCACAAGAAUCUUGAGACUGAAGAAUGAGAUUAAAAAAAAAAAAUAAAAAAAUAACUCCUGACUUUUUAAGUCAUAGUCUGGCCUUUAAGAUACUAGGUUACAUUUAAGUCAAUUUUUCAAAAUUCUCUCUGGAAUGAUCUAGACCAGUGGUGCUCAAGUUUUUGGCCCUACAAGCCAGAUGAGUUUCGCAAGGCCUAUGUGCUGGCUGAAUUGGGCCCUGGCACCACUCCCUCCCCAUCCUGUUUGCUUUGAAAUUGGGUCCUGGGGCCCAGUGCUACCCCCUCCCACCUCCUAUGCCCUGGGAUUGGGUCCAUGAGGCCCAGCACCGCUGCCUCCCACCCCCCGCCCCAUGUGCUGUGAUUGGGCUUUGGGUGCCCAACACCACCCCUUCUGCCAGCAUUGGGUCCUGGGUCCCAGCACCACCGCCUCCCAUCUCUGUGCACUGGGGUUGGGUCCCAGGGGCCAGUCACCACCCCUGCCUGUGCCCUAUACACUGGGAUUGGGCCCUGGGGCUUGGCAAUACCCUCACCUGACCCUGCACGCUGGGAUUGGGCACCUGAUCCAGUGCUCAAUCAAGGCCUGGGGCUUUCCACAGUCUGGAGAUUUAGUAUCACCACUUUUGCAUGGUCACAUUUCCAGACCUCUAGGGAGCCCUGUGGGCCCCCUGAUCUAGACAUAAAAGUUUGCAAUUUUCUAAAAUGAAAACUGAGAUUCUUAUACAUUCAGUUGUCUCUGGCAGCUGGGGUUUCAGCUAUCACAAGGCACAUGGACAUCAUCAGGGUUAGCCAUAUUAUGAUGAAGGCAGACACUAUGGAUCUGUUCGUACAGAAAUGAAUUGGUAACUUCCUACCAGUUCAACAGCCGCAGGGUAGGCCCUCGUGUGCAAUGCAGGAACUCUCAGAUAGGUUAGUCACUUAUUAAUUGGCUUCCUUGUGUGAUGUGCUUAUGGUAAAAUGCUAAUAUCUUAAAAUUACAACUUGUGCACUAUCUCAGGUUGAAUAUUAUUUUCUUGGUUUAUGAGCCAAAUUGUGCCCAAUGAUGUGGGGUGAGGAUGGAAAAGUUAGCUGCCUUUCUUCUAUGGUAACACUAUUCUUAGUGUCUUUCUCUAAUAAGUGAUUUUAAACCAAAAUGUGUGUUAAUACAGCUGACUAAUAGAUUGCAUUUUAACAUGCCCUAAUACCAGCUAAAAAUGUGAAUGUAUACAAAAGAUUAUUAUAAAUAAAGAAAUGAAAUUUAA